AACGAACGCUGGCGGCAUGCCUAACACAUGCAAGUCGAACGAAGCCUUCGGGCUUAGUGGCGCACGGGUGCGUAACGCGUGGGAAUCUGCCCUUGGGUUCGGAAUAACAGUUAGAAAUGACUGCUAAUACCGAAUGAUGUCUUCGGACCAAAGAUUUAUCGCCCAAGGAUGAGCCCGCGUCGGAUUAGCUAGUUGGUGAGGUAAAGGCUCACCAAGGCGACGAUCCGUAGCUGGUCUGAGAGGAUGAUCAGCCACACUGGGACUGAGACACGGCCCAGACUCCUACGGGAGGCAGCAGUGGGGAAUAUUGGACAAUGGGCGAAAGCCUGAUCCAGCAAUGCCGCGUGAGUGAUGAAGGCCUUAGGGUU
rnacentral:rRNA from 1 species